UAGCAGGUAGCAGCAGGCACGCCAUUGACAGAUGAACAACCACCGGCCAGCAAGAAUUGAAACUUUUCAACAGGCAGAAAAAGAAAUCGUAUCACCGGCCACCCAUUUAAUUAGAGUAACACAAACAGUAGCAUAUUCUUUUCUGAUUAGCCUUUGUUAACCAACAACAAGCACAUGGUGAACAGCGACGGCGACGUCAGCUGGAUACAGGCUAGAGCUACUCCGGCGACCUGGACCGCAGAUCACAGCCCCCACAGUGCUGCACGGCACGGUGGAGAUGGCGGGCGAUGAAGGCGGGGUGCCGCUGCCGCCGGCCGGGGCUUGCGAGUGCGCCCGUCAGUCAGCGGUGCGCCGUGACGAGGGUCUCGAUGAAGCGCAGCCCGUCGAACCGCGGCGCAAACCUCUCAUCCGCCGCCGCCGCGGCGCCGCUCCGCCGCCUCCUGCCGGCGCCGUCCUCCCUCGCCGGCGAGGACCCCUGAUGUACCUGCAGGCAAAGGAUGUGAUGUGAGCGACCGGAAGAAUGCCACCUGGACCGACGGGGGAACAGCCGGCGGGCGAGCGCUCGAGAGGGCGAGGGCGUACCGUGGUGGAGGGGUACGCGGCGGACGCGGCGGCGGUGGCCGCGGCGGACACGGCAGCAGCGGCGGCGCCCCACCUCAUCUCGCGCGGGCCGGGGAGGACGACGGCCGGACGAUGAGGACUCGGGGGAGGGCGGCGCCGCCGCUGGGAUCCGACGGAACAGUGGGCGGCUGGCUACAGGUCGCCGAGCCGCGGCGGCCGCGGGCGUAUUUAUGCGCCCUCGUCGGGUCGGAACCGUGCGGGGCGAUUCCGUCGGAUUUGAGAGCGGCCCGGCGUCGCGUCCGCCGCGUCGCCCGCUCCUUGAGACGGCGCGGUGGGGCCCGCCACGUUGUUCGGCGGUGGCGUCGGGAAGCCGCGCAACGAAA
rnacentral:lncRNA from 1 species